UACGUAGGCAGCGAGCGUUGUUCGGAGUUACUGGGCGUAAAGGGUGUGUAGGCGGUUGUUUAAGUUUGGUGUGAAAUCUCCCGGCUCAACUGGAGGGUGCGCCGAAUACUGAAUGACUUGGAGUGCGGGAGAGGAGAGUGGAAUUCCUGGUGUAGCGGUGAAAUGCGUAGAUAUCAGGAGGAACACCGGUGGCGAAGGCGGUCUCUGGCCGUAACUGACGCUGAGGAGCGAAGCGUGGGAGCGAACAGG
rnacentral:rRNA from 1 species